GCGGAUGUAGCCAAGUGGAUCAAGGCAGUGGAUUUG
rnacentral:tRNA from 2 species